GACGAACGCUGGCGGCGUGCUUAACACAUGCAAGUCGAACGGAAAGGCCCUGCUUUUGUGGGGUGCUCGAGUGGCGAACGGGUGAGUAACACGUGAGUAACCUGCCCUUGACUUUGGGAUAACUUCAGGAAACUGGGGCUAAUACCGGAUAGGAGCUCCUGCUGCAUGGUGGGGGUUGGAAAGUUUCGGCGGUUGGGGAUGGACUCGCGGCUUAUCAGCUUGUUGGUGGGGUAGUGGCUUACCAAGGCUUUGACGGGUAGCCGGCCUGAGAGGGUGACCGGCCACAUUGGGACUGCGAUACGGCCCAGACUCGUACGGGAGGCAGCAGUGGGGAAUAUUGCACAAUGGGCGGAAGUCUGAUGCAGAAACGCCGCGUGCGGGAUGACGGCCUUCGGGUUGUAAACCGCUUUCGCCUGUGACGAAGCGUGAGUGACGGUAAUGGGUAAAGAAGCACCGGCUAACUACGUG
rnacentral:rRNA from 1 species